AUUCGAGGAUUAGUCUUUGUUCAGUGCUAACGUACGCAUACAUAUGUUUCCGUUGCCUUUGUUUUUUAUAAUUAAGACUCGGUUUUUGAUUUUGGUUUUGUGAGGUGGCUAUCUUCUUCGUUCAUAUUCUUCUUCUUACGUAGUAAUUAACAGCUUUAUAAAAAUCCUUACAAGCAUGUAAAUUAACGUCCCAGAUCCAUUUUCUUCUCCUUAAUUAUAAAAAAGAUUUUAAUCGAUAGAUAAGUUUUCAUUCAUUUGUGUCUCUGGUUUUAAUUUGUGUUUGGUGAAACUAGUACUGGCAAAACUUGAAGCAACAAGUGUAAACCCAAAUUUAUAAACGUCAAAUCAUGUAAAAUUCGUCUCUAUUAAAUUUAUCUUCCUC
rnacentral:lncRNA from 1 species